rnacentral:rRNA from 1 species
CGAAGGGUGCAAGCGUUACUCGGAAUUGCUGGGCGUAAAGCGUGCGUAGGUGGUUCGUUAAGUCUGUCGUGAAAUCCCCGGGCUCAACCUGGGAAUGGCGAUGGAUACUGGCGAGCUAGAGUGAGGUAGAGGAGAGUGGAAUUCCCGGUGUAGCAGUGAAAUGCGUAGAGAUCGGGAGGAACAUCAGUUGCGAAGGCGGCUCUCUGGACCAUCACUGACACUGAGGCACGAAAGCGUGGGGAGCAAACAGGAUUAGAUACCCUGGUAGUCCACGCCCUAAACGAUGUCAACUAGGUGUUGGGUGGGUAAAACCAUUUAGUACCGGAGCUAACGCGUGAAGUUGACCGCCUGGGGAGUACGGCCGCAAGGUUA